GAACUGAAGAGUUUGAUCCUGGCUCAGAUUGAACGCUAGCGGGAUGCUUUACACAUGCAAGUCGAACGGCAGCGCGAGAAAGCUUGCUUUCUUGGCGGCGAGUGGCGAACGGGUGAGUAAUGUAUCGGAACGUGCCCAGUAGCGGGGGAUAACUACGCGAAAGCGUGGCUAAUACCGCAUACGUCCUACGGGAGAAAGGGGGGGAUCGCAAGACCUC
rnacentral:rRNA from 1 species